rnacentral:tRNA from 1 species
GGCGAAAUUGGUAGACGCACCAGGUUUAGGUCCUGACGUCCGCAAGGAUGUGGGGGUUCGAGUCCCCCC